AAAUUGAAGAGUUUGAUCAUGGCUCAGAUUGAACGCUGGCGGCAGGCCUAACACAUGCAAGUCGAACGGUAACAGGAAGCAGCUCGCUGCUUCGCUGACGAGUGGCGGACGGGUGAGUAAUGUCUGGGAAACUGCCUGAUGGAGGGGGAUAACUACUGGAAACGGUAGCUAAUACCGCAUAA
rnacentral:rRNA from 1 species